CGCCGAUAGAACCCGACAUUAAUUUGGUUGAUAACCUCUUACUAAUUGUUUACGAAGCGCAAAAUGCAACUUAUAUAAUGAUAACAAAAUUAUUCUAUAGAAAAACAUAACCUUAAAAAGCUAACCUAAAAAAUCUUGCCCAAUAACGCAGCAUCACAACUUCCUGUAAAGAUUCUUCCACACUUACAGACUGUAAUAUUCUUAAAUCGCGAAUGAUAAUGUGGAUUGUCAAUACAUGAAUAUUUCACCUAAAGUGGUUAUAAUGCCACCUGAAGACCUAAAAGUGGUUAUAAUGCCACCUGAAGACCAGGUCAUUGAUGAUACAGCCAUGGUUAUCCACUAAGGGAAUAAAGUAGCGGGUGCAGUAUGAGAGGAUAGAGCACCAACCACCGUCACAUAAGUAGUGAUGGGCAACUGCUCUUUGCUACUUCGGUUGGUAACUAUCAGUUUGCCUGGUCCUACAACUGAAGAUUUAUGUACUUAAUGGCUGUACAGUAAAUAACAGAUGCUCGGAAGGCAACUAUAAGAUUCAGAGGAUGAUUUUGAUCAAUAUACAUUUUUGUUAAUCUGCAUUUUAAAUAAUAAAAUGUAAUUGAGUAUUUCU